GAAAUUGAGAGAAAGAGUUCCUCUAUGAAGGUGUGAAAAAUAAGAAAAAGGAUUCUCUUGUGCAUGGAAGAAAAGAGAAGAAAGAGUUAUCAAGAUUUCUAGCAUAGAGAUCUCAUGCAUGGGUUCUAGGAAGAAAGGAGAGAGUCUUCUUGUUCUUCUUUCCCAUCAUCUUCCUCCUCUUCCUUCUCUACUCCAUCUUCCUUAGAGAG
rnacentral:lncRNA from 1 species